GACGAACGCUGGCGGCGUGCUUAACACAUGCAAGUCGAACGGCAAGGCACUGCUAUUGUGGUGUGCUGGAGUGGCGAACGGGUGAGUAACAGGUGUGUAACCUGCCCUUGUUUUUGGGGUGAGUUCAGGUAACUGGGGUUACUCCCGGAUCGCAGCUGCCGUUGCGGGGUGGGGGUUGGAAAGUUUCGGCGGGUGGGGAUGGACUCGCGGCUUAUCGGCUUGUUGGUGGGGUAGUGGCUUACCCAGCCUGUGACGGGUAGGCGGCCUGGGAGUGUGACCGGCCACCAUGGGACUGAGAGACGGGCCAGACUCCUACGUGGGGCAGCAGUGGGAAAUAUGGCACAAUCGGCGGAAGCCUGAGGCGGCAACGCCGCGGGCGGAAAGACGUCCUUCGGGGUGAGAACCGCAGUCGCCUGAUACGAAGCGGUACUGACGGUAAUGAAUAAAUAAGCACCGGCUAACUACGUG
rnacentral:rRNA from 1 species